rnacentral:rRNA from 1 species
GAUGAACGCUGGCGGCGUGCCUAAUACAUGCCAGUCGAGCGAACAGACGAGGAGCUUGCUCCUCUGACGUUAGCGGCGGACGGGUGAGUAACACGUGGAUAACCUACCUAUAAGACUGGGAUAACUUCGGGAAACCGGAGCUAAUACCGGAUAAUAUAUUGAACCGCAUGGUUCAAUAGUGAAAGACGGUUUUGCUGUCACUUAUAGAUGGAUCCGCGCCGCAUUAGCUAGUUGGUAAGGUAACGGCUUACCAAGGCAACGAUGCGUAGCCGACCUGAGAGGGUGAUCGGCCACACUGGAACUGAGACACGGUCCAGACUCCUACGGGAGGCAGCAGUAGGGAAGCUUCCGCAAUGGGCGAAAGCCUGACGGAGCAACGCCGCGUGAGUGAUGAAGGUCUUCGGAUCGUAAAACUCUGUUAUUAGGGAAGAACAAAUGUGUAAGUAACUAUGCACGUCUUGACGGUACCUAAUCAGAAAGCCACGGCUAACUACGUG